rnacentral:tRNA from 1 species
ACCUAGGUGGCUCAGUCGGUUAAGUGUCUGACUUUGGUUCAGGUCAUGAUCUCACAGUCUGUGGGUUUGAGCCCCACUUUGGGCU